UACGUAGGGGGCAAGCGUUGUCCGGAUUUAUUGGGCGUAAAGAGCGUGUAGGCGGCCCGACAGGUCCGUUGUGAAAACUCGAGGCUCAACCUCGAGACGUCGAUGGAAACCGUCGGGCUAGAGUCCGGAAGAGGAGAGUGGAAUUCCUGGUGUAGCGGUGAAAUGCGCAGAUAUCAGGAGGAACACCGAUGGCGAAGGCAGGUCUCUGGGCCACUACUGACGCUGAGAAGCGAAAGCGUGGGGAGCGAACAGG
rnacentral:rRNA from 1 species